AUUGAACGCUGGCGGCAGGCCUAACACAUGCAAGUCGAAUGGUAACAGGAAACAGCUUGCUGUUUCGCUGACGAGUGGCGGACGGGUGAGUAAUGUCUGGGAAACUGCCUGAUGGAGGGGGAUAACUACUGGAAACGGUAGCUAAUACCGCAUAACGUCGCAAGACCAAAGAGGGGGACCUUCGGGCCUCUUGCCAUCAGAUGUGCCCAGAUGGGAUUAGCUAGUAGGUGGGGUAACGGCUCACCUAGGCGACGAUCCCUAGCUGGUCUGAGAGGAUGACCAGCCAUACUGGAACUGAGACACGGUCCAGACUCCUGCGGGAGGCAGCAGUGGGGAAUAUUGCACAAUGGGCGCAAGCCUGAUGCAGCCAUGCCGCGUGUAUGAAGAAGGCCUUCGGGUUGUAAAGUACUUUCAGCGGGGAGGAAGGGAGUAAAGUUAAUACCUUUGCUCAUUGACGUUACCCGCAGAAGAAGCACCGGCUAACUCCGUG
rnacentral:rRNA from 1 species